GAUGAACGCUGGCGGCGUGCUUAACACAUGCAAGUCGAACGGAAAGGCCCAAGCUUGCUUGGGUCCUCGAGUGGCGAACGGGUGAGUAACACGUGGGUGAUCUGCCCUGCACUGCGGGAUAAGCCUGGGAAACUGGGGCUAAUACCGGAUAGGACCACAUUCUGGAUGGUGUGGUGGAAAGUUUUUCGGUGUGGGAUGAGCUCGCCGCCUAUCAGCUUGUUGGUGGGGUAAUGGCCUACCAAGGCGUCGACGGGUAGCCGGCCUGAGAGGGUGGACGGCCUCAGUGAGACUGGGAUUGGGACCCGGCUCCUACGGGGGGCGGCAGUGGGAGAUGGUGCUCAAUGGGAGUGGGCCUGAUGCAGCCGCGCCGAGGGCGGGAUGACGGCCUUCGGGUUGUGAACUCCUUACGCUAGGGACGAGGCGGUAUGUGACGGUACCUGGAGAAGAAGCCCCGGCUAACUACGUG
rnacentral:rRNA from 1 species